rnacentral:tRNA from 1 species
GGCAUAAUAGCUGAGUGGUAAAGCGCUUGGCUUUCCAACCAGGGAUCCCGGGUUCAAAUCCUGGUGAGGACU